GAUGAACGCUAGCGGCAGGCCUAACACAUGCGAGUCGAGGGGUAGAAGGAGCUUGCUCCUUUGCGACCGGCGCACGGGUGCGUAACGCGUAUGCAAUCUACCUUGUACAGGGGAAUAGCCCAGAGAAAUUUGGAUUAAUGCCCCAUAGUAUAUAACCUUCGCAUGUUGGUUAUAUUAAAGUUCCAACGGUACAAGAUGAGCAUGCGUCCCAUUAGUUAGUUGGUAAGGUAACGGCUUACCAAGACGAUGAUGGGUAGGGGUCCUGAGAGGGAGAUCCCCCAGACUGGUACUAAGGUCCGGACCAGACUCCUACGGGAGGGAGCAGUGAGGAAUAUUAGUGAAUGGUGGCUAGACGGAACCAGCCAUGCCGCGUGCAGGAAGACGGUCCUAGGGAUUGUAAACUGCUUUGAAACAGGAAGAAUCCCUCCCACGUGUGGGGGCUUGACGGUACUGUAGGAAUAAGGAUCGGCUAACUCCGUG
rnacentral:rRNA from 1 species